UGGGCUUGUGGCCAGAUUAAUAACUUGUUCAAGAAAUCUUUACUGAGAUAGUGCCAGAGGAUGCUGAGAAGCAGGGUGAAUAAGUAACCAAAAAGGCAGGGUUUCUUCCUUUUUGAAGCUUCCGGUCUAUUCAGGAAUGCAGACAAGUCAGCAGGUAAUCACGGUGUGCACAGGUGAGAUGGACUGUGAUAAGGGAAGUUCGGGCGCCUCCUGCAGUGGGUGCUCCAGCAUCCCAGGGGGCUUAGAUGAAGCAAAAAUGGGGGAUGUGAUAGGGGUGGAGGAUGAUCCAGCAUGCAUAUGAGCUCUAAGGCAGGACAGAGUGGCACUUUGGAGAACCCUCCACCGUCCUUAAACCAGCCCCACUUCCCACUUCCAGUUCUACCCACUCUUGGCUUAGGAAAUUUUCUCCUCUUUUUGCCCUGAAAAUUAGCCUUGGUGGCUGAGUUUUGCUUUUCAGGUUCUCAUUGCUAGUGCUUAUUUUGACGCUUAGUGACCAUCUCAUUCCUACUAUUGGCCCGCAGUAGGGAAUCAGACCUUUAGUAGACACGGAGCUCUUCAAAUACAGAGUGAACUUGGGGCAUCUGAUCAUGUGGGUCAAGAUGAACACUACAGAAUACAACUGAGAGCCACAUGUGAGUGAAGCUGUACUCGAGCUGACAAUACUGACAUUCAAAAAGCAACAGGAUGAUGAGAAUGUUCUGGAAUUAGAGGGUAGUGAUAGUUACACAACCUUGUGAAUAUACUACUGCACACCUUAACAUGGUGAAUUUUAUGGUACGUAAAUUACAUCUCAAUAACAUUUAAAAAAAAAAAAAAAAGCAGCAGCAGAUGGCUGCUGGAGGAGGCUGAGCUUAAAUACCCCUGGUUACACUUCCUCCUUUCCUUGUAUUUACUGGAAGGAGAAGGAUUUGUCCUAAGAUGAAUAGUUUUUUCAUCUUCAGAAAUUCCUGACAAGCUACUACCCUGUCAAGGCAUGAAAAAUUUCAUUAGUGCUGACUUGGCAGCACUGAGAAGUGAAGGAAUAUUUGGGAGGAUCAGAAGCUUGGUCCUGAUUUUGCCAUCAACAGGAACUUGAUGACUUCAAGGGAGUCCCCAAACCCUGGGUUUCUGUUUUCUCAACUCUAACAUGAGGGGCUAGAUGCAUCUGGUUUAGUUAGUCUCCAUGAUGGUUUAGUUCGUCUCCAUGAUCCUGUGAAUUUCAGAUGUUGAAAAUCUUCGGAAAAGCCCUGAAAGAUGAACAGUGGUCUCAAAUAGUCAAGACCCCCUGCUGGGAGGAGCUUCUAUCCUGCUCUGUGGAAGAAAUGGGCAUGCCAGAUGCCUGGAAGAUCAGAGGCUCACAUUCCAGUUCAAAGUUAGAGAAACCUGAGAGGGGUGUACUGGUAUGACCACCCGAGAUCCCAUCGCUGAGAAAGAUAAUGGCCCUGGAGACAAAGACUGAUGAAGAAAGACAGUAUCCAGCUGUGAUGCAGAUGAAACAUGCGGCAUGGUUGCACUCACUAUGCAGCCAAGGCUGGAAGCCACUCUGGAUCCAGCCACUCUGGCACAGCGUUCUUGCUCUAGGAAGAACAACUGAACAUGGCCACACAGGCCUCACAGCUGGCAUAUGGAGGCUGUUAAUAAGCUGAGCUUGAGGCUUCAAAGGACUCUUGUAGCCUGUGCUGGAUCUAGCAGUGACCAGUAUGCCAGUGGCCAUGGAUGCCCAGGCCCAUGUUCAGUAGUGAAGCAGGUGCUAGCAGCAGAAGCAAUAGAAAUGGAAACUGGGAGAUCUGCUGUGGAUGAAUCUCAUUAUCUUCUUUCUCUGACCCUCUUUGGACUAAAUAAACUCCCAGUAUUCUUGACCAACAGAGGUAGGGUUGGAACAGAACCUCAAAAGUCAUCAUUAGACUUCCUACUAAUAGGGCAUUGGAAGUUCAAGCGACUAACUAGGAAACAGGUUAGUAUUUGUACCCCUACACUGUGCAACAGAUUACAUACCAUUUGCUCUAUUUGGCAUCCUUUCCUUAGGCUAGAUUCCCAGAAGAAAGAUUACUGAUUCGAAGGGCAUGAACAUUUUUAUGACUCUUGGCCUAAAUUACUAGGCCAAGGUUUUUUCAAAGGGAUGCACUAAUUUUCACUAUUUCCCCACACCCUUUCAGGUGAUAAAUAAUUGACUUGAUUUGUUUACACUGACGCCAAGAAUUCUUGGGAAGAAGGAUCAAAGUGAAAAGUGGUAGCCCAUGGUGGGGAGGCCACACUCAGUGCAGUUGUGAAGUCAGCAGCAUUUUUAAGCCCAUUCAUUGCCAGUAGCCCUGAGAUGAGCAUUCCCAAGCUGCUUCCCAGGUCCCUCCUCCACUCUCUCAGGGACAUCCAUUCUGUACCAGCCCCCUCAGAUACUCAUGCCCUUGCCCUCCCUUCUCCAUGCUCAUUAAAACCAGCUUAAGAGCAGAUAUGACAUCAGUCACUUACCUUUUCGUGUGGCUCUAAAUCAAAGUGUCACCUCUCCCAAGCACAUGCUUGCAUCUUAGCUCUGAUUGAGGAAUGAAAAGCUUUGUUCUCUGUUAAAAGAACUUUGAGCUUAGAUGCCCCAGACUGAGAAAUCCACCAAAAGCUGGACCUUUGACUUGAGCGGCAAAGGACCCCCAUAGUCAGGCUGUGAUUUGAGGAGCAUCAAGAGGCCAGAGUUUCCAAGUUGGGACCCAGAAGGUGGGGUUGGCAGGGGGAGGGUAGGAGCAGCUGGAGACUCUGCUCUACCAGGGGAAUACGGAGGUGGGGACCAAUCCCAGGGUAAGGAAUGAAAGUAGGAGCCCCAGAAGCUGAAAACAUACUUCACCGAUGUCAGCAUUUUACCCAGAGCCAUUCCAAGGUGACCAUAACUCACUUAAAAGCCUGAAAGCUGUUUUAUGCCAACUAAUAAAGUGCAGUUUAAUAAAAAAGUUGUCAAUCAUUUUUAUAUAAAAUGUAUUUGGGGCAUGAAUG
rnacentral:lncRNA from 10 species